rnacentral:rRNA from 1 species
UACGUAGGGUGCGAGCGUUAAUCGGAAUUACUGGGCGUAAAGCGUGCGCAGGCGGUUCUCCAAGUCCGUUGUGAAAGCCCCGGGCUCAACCUGGGAAUGGCAGUGGAAACUAGGGGACUGGAAUCUGGCAGAGGGGGGUGGAAUGCCGCGUGUAGCAGUGAAAUGCGUAGAGAUGCGGCGGUACACCGAUGGCGAAGGCAGCCCCCUGGGCUGAGAUUGACGCUCAGGCACGAAAGCGUGGGGAGCAAACAGG